rnacentral:rRNA from 1 species
UCGAGAAUCAUUCGCAAUGGGCGAAUGCCUGACGAUGCGACGCCGUGUGAGCGAAGAAGGCCUUCGGGUUGUAAAGCUCUUUCGCCUGUGAACAAGAGAGACAGGAUAACACCCUGUGGAUUUGAGGGUAACAGGUAAAGAAGCACCGGCUAACUCCGUGCCAGCAGCUGCGGUAAUACGGAGGGUGCAAGCAUUAAUCGGAAUUAUUGGGCGUAAAGGGCGCGUAGGCGGAGGGGUAAGUCAGAUGUGAAAUCCCGGGGCUCAACCUCGGAACAGCAUUUGAAACUGCUCCCCUAGAGGGUAGGCGGAGAAAACGGAAUUCCACAAGUAGCGGUGAAAUGCGUAGAUAUGUGGAGGAAUACCGAUGGCGAAGGCAGCCCCCUGGGUUACUACUGACGCUCAUGCACGAAAGCGUGGGGAGCAAACA